GCGGAUCCUUUUCCAUUCAGAAUGCAUUAGGACAAAACUGAUACGUUUCAGACCGCUUGUGAGAGCCCUGAAUGGAUCUCACAAAUGGAAAGCCAAACCGCCAGUGUGAAAGUAGCCUAACAUGUCAGUGGAUGGGAGGAUUUGGCAGACAGGUACACCCCUGAGAUCCUGCAACACCUAGUCAUGAUGCCAAUAAACAGCGUGUGGGGUUUGUGCAAAUUGUCCUAGUUCACAUGGUUGGGUGCGGCCCAUUAUAGCUGUAGCUGUGGGUUUUGCCGCUUUCCAGUUUUUUAGAGACAGUCGUUUCUUUACAGAGGAUGUUGUAAUCAAGCGGUAACUACACUGUAAGAACUCUGCCUGUCGGCCUCCUGAGGGGAUGUGCACGGGUCACUGGCUGCAUUGAUUCACGGUUGAAUGUUCGAUUAUUGUUGUGGAUUAUUCUCAUUGGCUUCAGUCGGCAGAACCUCAUCAUUAAAACCGUGAUUGGUUUUCAUUUGAAGCAGUUCUCGGAAGGUUAGUCCAUUGCUGUAGUCCCCACCUUUACCAGGAAGUGUGACUGUUGCGUACAGCUAUGUACCGCUCAGACCACACCACACAUAAAACGUAACAGAUGCUACAGAAAACCAUGUCACAGGGUGAGUCACAUCAUAGACUUCUAGAGUCUGUGAGACUUAGGCAAGUUUCGUGUUUGUGUUAAAACUGAUCCGGCAGGCUGUCCGGCUGUGAACCGCCUGCCGGAUCUGUGAAUAUUGGGCGCUACCGAGGUUCCGUCCGGCCCCAUUUACCAUAAUGAGGAACGACGGAGAUCCGACCGCAAUCCAGCAAAUAUGCCGAGGGGCGGCUGGACUAAUACCGCUGCAUGCAGCCGUUUUCAUCCGGCUGCCCCUCACACGGAACAGCCUGCCGGAUCUGUUUUAACAUGAAUGUGAAAGGCCUGAGUGUCAUGCUUUCUGACCUGCUGCACAUCGCAGCAGUAUUUUAAUCUAGUAAUUUUACCGUGAUGCCACUUUCAUGCAGGUAAAACUCUGUGAAUGGUGUGUGCACAGUCUACCGGUACUAUAUGGAAGCACUUUCACAUGGAAGGUACUAUGAUGUAGAGCUCCUGUAAGGGAAUGAUGCCUGUUACACUGAGCAGCAAAUCACCGUAGCUAUCGGCCACUGGAUUAGCAGCAAAAAGUGGCUGGCCGCCACUAAUUCAGAUAUCAUCUACACGGACUUUAGUGCAGUGGUCUGCAGCUGUGGGGAACUGCAACUCCUAGCAUGCCCAAAUCAAUAGUGAGAAAUCAAGGCAGAUGUUUUCAGCCUAGUAUGGCGCUGUAGCUAUAAGCAAACAGUGGACAGAUGUCCUUCACUUACAAAUUGCACAUUGGGGAGAGUUUCCUUCAGGGUCUGUCUUGGGGUGAUGAUCAAGUGACAGUGCAGCAUCUCUGAUGAUAGGGGCUACGUUUAUUCACUAGUUUUCCUUGCGACGAAGACCGCCAAAUUAAACAGCACAACAUGUAUGAUCGCACAAUCCCCAUCCCCCCUUCCUUUAAGCGCAACUCCCAGCAGGAAAUGGUUAUCUGCUUAUACCCACCUCCCCCUAAAUCAGCAGGUUUGGUAUCAGCCCCAGACCUUAACUGUCCCUGAUCCUGAGAUCCAGCAAUGACCCAAGUCCAGUAUAGAGGUCACAUAUAACGGUUCCCGCUCAGUGUUAAAUAUGUGAUCAUGGAUUCCCCUCUUUAUUAGGCGCCUGGUACCUAAGGUAUAGCAUUAUCAGGAUGGGUGUAACCAGCAUUACAGGGGCCUGGGACACAAAGCGGUCUGAUGGUAUGGCACAGUCAGUCAGUGAUCAUGAUAGAAUAUGGUAGAAGAGAAUGGAGGUCCCCUAAUCUGAUGUAUAUCAACACCCACCUCCCUACCCUGACACCCAGAUGUUGCACAGUGACAAUGUCUGGACAUGACCGCGGUGCAGUCUCCGGAUGUCAGCAGGGGACGAGGAUGGUUAUGGGGAUAUAUCCUCCCUUUGGUGAUAUAGAUUGACUUAUAACAGUCCUGGGCAGCCCCCUUUUGAGUGGUAUUUUCUGACUGUGCAGGGUCCUCUAUUGUACUGCCAAUCACUGCUCUACCGUAGGCUAUAUAAUACAUAUAUAUGACUGAUUGCGAGUCCUGGCACCGUCAUCCACUCAGCACAAUCCUCCACCACAUCCGUUUACCGGUCUGCUGCCCUCUAACCCUAAGAACCUGUAUUCUGUCUUAAAGCUGUUUGCGUACAGCACCCUGGGGUAAGGGGUCGGGUGCUGAGACGCAACACUGGGGUGCGCUCUGACCAUGCCCCUGCUUUCUGGACAUUGGAAAUUCCAUUCUACUUGAUGAUCUGUCCUAAUAUAUGACGUACACAAUUCAGUUGUAGGGUCCCCUUCCCUGAACGUAUCUUACACCUAGCAUGUAUAUUAACCUGUUGGCGAGGAUUGCUUUCUUUUUGUUUUAAAUAUAUACAAUGUUUAAAGAGAAUUGACACAUUUUAUAUACUUGUAUCUGGCUUUUAACAUUUUUAUAGUACCCCAUUGUUCUUGGUGGCGACAAUAUCUAUUUUUGUGCCCAUUUUUGGAAAACAAGUGCCGUUUUGGAAAUGUUACAAUUAUUUCUACAGUUCUUGUAUUCAGUGUGAAGGUCACGGUUGUUAAUUUUGUUGUCCUUUUUUUCUUUUCUGAUCUGUUUUUUGAGCCUGUAGCUGUACGCUUUUGAUGUUUCCCAAUGUCUGAGAGGGGGUGGAGCCAAAUGCCAAAAUCCCGCCCCUUCUCUAAAGUGGGAGAAGCAAUUGUGGCCCCUGGAGGAAAGCAUUCACGUGUCAUUAUUAAGUCUGUCUUGUGUUAAAGGGCCAUCCCUCAAUAAGUAAUGCUCCUUGUCAAAUGAGGGCAUCUAUGAGAUCAGUUAUUAUUGGGGAGGUGAUAAUAUCAUAUGCACCCACUAAAAUAAAUCUAGUUGUAGGAGCUACCACAAGUGUUCCCUCUGGAGAAUAGUGUACAUCAGUGGUCUGCAACCAUUGGCUUUCCAGCUCUUGUAAAACUAGAACUACCAACAUCCCCAGGCAGCCUGUGGAUGUAAAGCAUACUGAGGUUGCAGGUCACUGGUUUAGGGGGGAGUCUUUCACCUAAGACUAAUAGUGUUAUAGAACACUAACAUCAGGAUCUCCAUUACAUUCCCCAUAUUAGAAUGCUACAAGAGCGCGCCGGCCCGUACAUCCCGAUCUAGCCAGCCUUGUGCCUCUGCCCAUAAUGGGCAAUGAAGCGCGCAGGCGCGGCGAAUCUGUUGAACGGAGCUGGAUUUCUCACUAAGAGGAGGAUGUAAUCAGAAGAACCUAGGGCGGGCCAGAGGGGUGAAAGGGGAGGGGUUUUGUGUGAAAAGCACCGAGGGGCCUAGGCACCGGCCACAUGAACGCCGCCCCUGGGGACCUAUAGAAGCUAAUUAACAUAUUGAAUAAAAGCAUUUUUCUGAGAAAAUAGGCGAUGGACAGCAAUAUGGAAGGUAGCAUUCUAAUAUGGGGAAUGUAAUGGAGAUCCUGAUGUUAGUGUUCUAGAAUGGUGAUUUUAGGUGAAAGACUCCCUUUAAUGGAUUCAGAUCCCACCUAGUGUAUCUGUGUUGUAGAUACCGAAUGUAGAAAAAUGUAGUUUCUCCAUUUUUCUCAUUAUAAAUAAAGAGAAACAUGUUCAUUUAAUGCACCAACAUUCAGUAGAAAUCUUCUAGUCAGAAAAAUGCAGCAUAUGAUAACCAGAGGAGGAGACUUGGAGGAGAAGAGUCUUGGAAGUUCCCUCUCAUCCCCUCAUCUGUCAUUUAUCCUGUAGGAUAAAUUGGUGUGGGGGGUGGGAUUGUGCACUUGGCUCCGCCCCUCUUGUGUAAUGUAUAUACUCUGUAUAGCUACAUGGAAUCCAAGCUUGUGGGAUCCACAAGGACGAUGUGUCGGCUACAUUCUGCCUGGUUGUUUAAUCAAAAAUAAAAGGAGAAAAAAAAAAUUGGUGUAUGAAAGCUUCGGUUCUCGCCCGGCACCGUCUUAGGUCAAAUUAAAGAGAAAAAGAUAAUGUUAGUUUUGAGUGUCUUUGGAUAGAAACCUGAUGAUGAUGAUGCGAAGAUUUUUCAUUAAAAUAUAUUAUUAUUAAUGUU